rnacentral:misc_RNA from 1 species
GAAAUGCGAUAAGUAAUGUGAAUUGCAGAAUUCAGUGAAUCAUCGAAUCUUUGAACGCACAUUGCGCCCGCCAGUAUUCUGGCGGGCAUGCCUGUUCGAGCGUCAUUUCAACCAUCAAGCCCCCCGGCUUGUGUUGGGGACCUGCGGCUGCCGCAGGCCCUGAAAGCAGUGGCGGGCUCGCUGUCACACCGAGCGUAGUAGCAUACAUCUCGCUCUGGGCGUGCUGCGGGUUCCGGCCGUUAAACCACCUUCGUAACCCAAGGUUGACCUCGGAUCAGGUAGGAAGACCCGCUGGACUUAAGC